GACGAACGCUGGCGGCGUGCCUAAUACAUGCAAGUUGAGCGCUGAAGGUUGGUACUUGUACCGACUGGAUGAGCAGCGAACGGGUGAGUAACGCGUGGGGAAUCUGCCUUUGAGCGGGGGACAACAUUUGGAAACGAAUGCUAAUACCGCAUAAAAACUUUAAACACAAGUUUUAAGUUUGAAAGAUGCAAUUGCAUCACUCAAAGAUGAUCCCGCGUUGUAUUAGGUAGUUGGUGAGGUAAAGGCUCACCAAGGCGAUGCUACAUAGCCGACCGGAGAGGGUGAUUGGCCAGACUGGGACUGAGACACGGCACAAACGGCUACGGGAAGGAGCAGGAGGGAAUCUGGAGCAAUGGACGAAAGUCUGACCGAGCAACGCCGAGGGAGGGAAGAAGGACGUCGGAUCGGAAAACUCUGUUGGUAGAGAAGAACGUUGGUGAGAGUGGAAAGCUCAGCAAGUGACGGUAACGACCCAGAAAGGGACGGCUAACUACGUG
rnacentral:rRNA from 1 species